rnacentral:lncRNA from 1 species
AUGAAGAAUGGCACGGUGGCAAGAGACUUCUGCUUUUUCCUUCUCUCCUCCUGCCAGAUAGCAGAAAGCCAGACCUCGCAGCACCUCUUUGCUCUCCCUUGUAUUUCCACUGAGUCUCUUGGCCAAAGGGAGGAGAAAAACGGGAACGCGUGGCCAGAGGAAACAGGUGAACUCUUCAGAGGGGACAGCCAGAAACAUAGUUUGGAGGAGGAGGAAUCUGGAAAGGGGCAAGAAGUAACUCACUUUGUGAUGUGUUCUUCCCAUGCGUUAUGUGUGUUAAACCAACUGGUCCCCGCCUUGUUUACAUCUCCUUUCUGCCUCAACGUAACGUGGAUUUUUGUCUCUCCAAGUGGUGUCCCACCAUCCCCAGUGCCGUGACUGGGCACCUCAGCAGGCUGACCAGCAGAGUCAGCAGGUUCCAGAAAUCCACCCUUCACCUCAGAUCUCCCAACAGUCCUUCCAGAACUUGCCCCAAGUCAGAGUAAUGCUCUUCGUACCUUGUCUUUGAGGUUUAGGAACAGGCAUCCUUCACUUCUAGUGGGUGGCUGUGUGCUUUGAGAGCAUGAAAGCACACGUGCACUCUGCCAAGUUAGCUGUGGACCUGAAUUACACGGUCUCACAAUUGACGUCUCAUAACACAUUACGGGCGAGAUACUUUUCAUCAAUCGUAAUUAGCUGUUUAUAAAAGGCAGGAAGUAAUAACAAGGAAAUCAUCUGCAGUCCUGUGCAAUGAUAGGCGCAGGCUGACCAGGUGAGCUAUGUAGGGCAGCCUCCCCCACAGCUUGCUGGUUGUGGCAUCGGGAACUUGGCUACCACGUCUUUACCCACCUCUCCAGAGCCACUGGAAAUGGAUGGUUAGCGAGGCCGUGCGUCUGUGCAGAGCUGCCUGUCUCUUCUGGACCCACUGUCUGAAGUGCUGCGUAUGGAAUCUGGUGGAAAAAUGCUGGUAGAGACGCAGUUUGGAAAGAGAAGUGCUCCGAAAUCUAGAUGUUUUUGGACUCAUGUGCGUUGCUAAAUAUUUGUGCGCAGUCCUAUAGGCA